rnacentral:rRNA from 1 species
AUGAAUGACAAACUUCUCCCAAUCAUGUGCUGGAAUGUGCACGGGCUCAACCACCCCGCGAAGCGCGCCUCUGUCUGCGAAGUCGCUGCAGCAAAUCGAGUAGUGAUCAUGUGUUUACAAGAAACAAAAAUCGACGCCUGGUCUCCUAGUCUAGUCCGGGAAAUUGGCAGCUCCUCGCUGACUGACUGCAUCGCCCUCUCUGGAACAAAGACCUCGCCUUUGUCACCUCCCACGCCAUUGGCGCCUUCGCCAUCACGACAAAGAUCGGCCAUCGAUGUUGCUGGCCUGAAAGAGAUAAAGUGCAAAAAUCGCCGCUACACUUGGAGAAAUGAACGUCAAGACCCCACCCUCGUCAGCAUAGACAAGUUCUUCUACAACCAAGCCUGGGAGUCCCUGUUUCCCAGUUUUGCAGUGAUGGCAGCUUCUACGGCUACGUCAGACCACUGUCCAUUGAUCAUCGCCGACACAAAUGUAGCUCAGGAGACCCGGCGCUUGUCUGACGCUGAAUUCAACCUCAGGAAGCUUUUGAAGCUUCAACUGCUGGGACUGGCGGUGAUCGAUCGCGCCAGAAAGCGCCAAGCUUCUCGCCUGACCUGGCUCCGGGCGGGUGAUGUGGGAACAAAUUUUUUCCAUGCGAAGAUGAGGUCUCGCAGAUAG